rnacentral:tRNA from 1 species
GACCUAGUGGCUUGGAUGGUAAAGCAUCUGCCUGCAAUGCAGGAGACCAGAGUUUGAUCCCUGGGUUG